AGUGAUGGGAGACCCUACAAUAACAAACCGCCUGGAGCUGAUCCGGGAGACCCUACGGUAAAUAAACACCUGGAGCUGCUUCAGGAGACCCUACAGUAAAUAAGACAACCCUACAAGUGAUGGGAGACCCUACAAUAACAAACCGCCUGGAGCUGCUUCAGGAGACCCUACAGUAAAUAAACACCUGGAGAUGCUCCAGGAGACCCUACGGUAAAUAAGAGUGAUGGGAGACCCUACAAUAACAAACCACCUGGAGCUGCUCUGGGAGACCCUACCAUAAAUAAACACCUGGAGCUGCUUCAGGAGACCCUACAGUAAAUAAACACCUGGAGAUGCUCCAGGAGACCCUACGGUAAAUAAGAGUGAUGGGAGACCCUACAAUAACAAACCGCCUGGAGCUGCUUCAGGAGACCCUACGGUAAAUAAGACAGUGAUGGGAGACCCUACAAUAACAAACCACCUGGAGCUGCUUCAGGAGACCCUACAGUAAAUAAACACCUGGAGCUGCUCUGGGAGACCCUACAGUAAAUAAACACGUGGAGCUGCUUCAGGAGACCCUACGGUAAAUAAACACCUGGAGCUGCUCUGGGAGACCCUACAGUAAAUAAGACAUCACUGCAAGUGAUGGGAGACCCUACAAUAACAAACCACCCGGAUCUGCUCCAGGAGACCCUAAAUUAAAUAAGCCAGCACUGCGAGUUCUGGGAGACCCUACAAUAACAAACCAACAAGAGCUGCUUGGGGAGACCCUACAAAAAUAAGCUACCACAACAAGCACUGGGAGACACUACAGUAACAAGCCACCAGGAGCUGUUUUGGGAAGACCCUACAAUAAUAACCCAGUAGGAACCCCCUCUGGGAGACCCUACAAUAACAAACCACCAGGAGCUGCUCCAGGACGACCCUACAAUAAACAAACACCAGGACCUGCCUGGGGAGACCCUAUAAAAAUCAGCCACCACAACAAGCACUGGGAGACCCUACAAUAACAAACCACCAGGAGCGGCUCCAGGGAGACCCUACAAUAAAUAAGGGAACCUCCACUGCGAGACCCUACAAUAACAAACCACCAGGAGCUGCUCCAGGGACACUCCACAAUAACAAACCAGCAGGACCCUCUCUGGGAGACCCUACAAUAAAUAAGGCUGCAGGGUCUGCUUUAUGAAGGUCCAAUGACAACAACCCACCAGGGCUCGUUGUUGGGAGACCCUACAAUAACAAACCACCGUGCCU